rnacentral:rRNA from 1 species
GACGAACGCUGGCGGCGUACUUAACACAUGCAAGUCGAACGGUAAGGCCCUUCGGGGUACACGAGUGGCGAACGGGUGAGUAACACGUGGGUGAUCUGCCCUGCACUUCGGGAUAAGCCUGGGAAACUGGGUCUAAUACCGGAUAGGACCACUGCCUGCAUGGGUGGUGGUGGAAAGCUUUUGCGGUGUGGGAUAGGCCCGCGGCCUAUCAGCUUGUUGGUGGGGUGAUGGCCUACCAAGGCGACGACGGGUAGCCGGCCUGAGAGGGUGACCGGCCACACUGGGACUGAGAUACGGCCCAGACUCCUACGGGAGGCAGCAGUGGGGAAUAUUGCACAAUGGGCGCAAGCCUGAUGCAGCGACGCCGCGUGAGGGAUGACGGCCUUCGGGUUGUAAACCUCUUUCAGCACCGACGAAGCGCAAGUGACGGUAGGUGCAGAAGAAGGACCGGCCAACUACGUGCCAGCCGCCGCAGUAA